rnacentral:misc_RNA from 1 species
GAUGAAGAACGCAGCGAAAUGCGAUACGUAAUGUGAAUUGCAGAAUUCAGUGAAUCAUCGAGUCUUUGAACGCACAUUGCGCCCCCUGGUAUUCCGGGGGGCAUGCCUGUCCGAGCGUCAUUGCUGCCCUCAAGCACGGCUUGUGUGUUGGGUCGUCGUCCCCCCGGGGACGGGCCCGAAAGGCAGCGGCGGCACCGCGUCCGGUCCUCGAGCGUAUGGGGCUUUGUCACCCGCUCUUGUAGGCCCGGCCGGCGCUGGCCGACGCUGAAAAGCAACCAACUAUUUCUCCAGGUUGACCUCGGAUCAGGUAGGGAUACCCGCUGAACUUAAGCAUAUCAAUAAGCGGAGGA